rnacentral:lncRNA from 2 species
GUCACCGAGGUUUGGAUUGCUGUGUUGGCAUAUACCCUUAGUUGACAUCUUGGUUGGGCACCUUCCCUUGUCAGUCAAUCAAGAAGCCAUUCCUCUUGAUAUGAUUGCAACCCGACCCUCGAAGAAAGCAAAAAUAUCGGAAUAUUAUGAAUUAACCGACCAGAAUCUAUUUGCUCAUUUCACGAUUGAAUCAUCGACUAAAGAUUAUACACUGGUGGACAUGGGAGAUGUUUUUGUCCAAAAACAUGACCUAAUGUGCCUUCUCUCUGAAAAUGAAUUUGUGAACGACAAUGACCUUGUUUGGAUCCUCCGGGCUAUUAAAUAGCCCUCCAGAA